rnacentral:rRNA from 1 species
UUGGAGGGCAAGUCUGGUGCCAGCAGCCGCGGUAAUUCCAGCUCCAAUAGCGUAUAUUAAAGUUGUUGCAGUUAAAAAGCUCGUAGUUGAAUUUCGGGAUCAAGGGAUCAGUCAUGCCUUGGUAUGUACUGGUCUUAUUGGUUCUCACCUUCUAAAGAACCAUAAUGUCAUUUAUUUGAUGUUAUGGGGAAUUAGGACUGUUACCUUGAAAAAAUUAGAGUGUUUAAAGCAAGCUUACGCUUGAAUACAUUAGCAUGGAAUAAUGAAAUAGGACAUCAGAUUCUAUUUUGUUGGUUUCUAGGAUCGAUGUAAUGAUUAAUAGGGAUAGUUGGGGGCAUUAGUAUCCAAUUGUCAGAGGUGAAAUUCUUGGAUUUAUUGAAGACUAACUACUGCGAAAGCAUUUGCCAAGGAUGUUUUCAUUAAUCAAGAACGAAAGUUAGGGGAUCGAAGACGAUCAGAUACCGUCGUAGUCUUAACCAUAAACUAUGCCGACUAGGGAUCGGACGAAGUUAAUUUUAUAAUGACGCGUUCGGCACCUUACGGGAAACCAAAGUGUUUGGGUUC